UAAACAAAUGUAUACAUGCAUUUUUUAUUAUAUAUUUCUUUCUUUUUCUUUUUCUUUUCUUUUAAUUCAAUAACAUACAUAAAAAAAAUACAAACACACACACACAUCUCUUUUUUAUUAUUUUUUUCUCUUUUCUUUUACAUUCACCUUUACACAAAAUAAAUUCAAAACAAAUAAAUACAAAUUACAUUAAUUAAUUUAAAUUUUACAAAACAGUCCCUAAAAGUCCAGAAAUUGCAUUGAAGGACACUGUCGGAACUGCCUGAACUCGUGGCGGCGCGUGAACCCACGCGCCGCCGCAAACAUGCCGGAAACGGGCGGAUCUGCCCUGUUUCCUCCUCCUCCUCCCUUCUCUGCUGGUGGCAUCCUGCAAAACAAGAAAAAGGAAACGCAGACAGUUCAUUUUAAUCCAUUUCUGUCCAGUUCUUGGAUUUUUCCUUUCUUCUCCAUUUUGGAUCUGCUUCUUUACAGAUCUGUUAUUUUCGUUUCCCCUUGUUCUCUGUUUUAGGCUGCCGGCCGAGUGACCAUAGGGCUGCUGGCGGCGUUCAUGGUGGCUCGCGGGGGGUUGCUGCGAUGGAAGAGGAAAUCGUGGGUCUGCCACCGGUUGAAGGAGAUGAUGUCAGCGUUGCCCCGGCGCUGAAUCUGUUCGGCCGUCGCUGCUGUGGAAGGAAACCGAAGGAGAAGCAGCCGUGGCUGAGGAGAUCGUGACCUGGGAGGCGCCGGAGCUGGAAGCUGUGGGAAAGAAGAGAAAAAUAAAUCAAACCCGCGGGGAAGAAGAGUUGUAGCUGGUUCUCCGUGGGGAAAGGAGAGUGGUGCUGUUGGUGGGUCUGUGUUGAUGACCGGGCUGUGGAGAAGGAAGGAAAAUGAAGGGGAAAAUGGAGAUGACGGUGGGGAAAUGGUCUGUCUUGGCUUCAAUGGUGGCGGCUUCUUCGUGGGCUGAGUUUAGCUGGCCAGAAGAAGGAGAACCGUAGGGAGCUCCAGUGAAGAAGAAGAAGAGGAAGGGUAUGUGCCUGCUGUUUGACUUGGAGAAGGAAGACCUGCUGGCUUCUGUAGGGGAAGAAAAGGAAACGAAAUGGCCGGCUAGAGAGUAGAGAUGGGCUGAUGGUCUUCACUCUUGCUGUCAACAGCAGUGCCUGGGCUUCUUGCUGCCGUCCGUGAGUCUUAUGGAGGGAAACAGAGAGAGCUGUGUCUCUGUUCGGUCGUGUCUUGCUCCUGCAACUGCGAGGGAAGAGGAGUUGUGGCUGCUGUUUGACUUGGAGAAGGAGCCGAAAAUUUAAAACCUCAAAGCAGGGGUUUCACUAGAUUUUCUUUGUCGAAGGAGGGAGUAUUGCUUUUUUUUUUUUAUCCGGGGGGUGAGCAGAGGCUUAAGGUGAACCGGAUGAAGGAGAAGAGAAAAAAAAAAUCAAAAGGGAAAGUGUCUAAGGGAGCUGGCAGCUGUCAUCGUAGAGGAAGGAAAAAAUUUCCAAAAAAAGGGGGGGGUCUCCCUGGCGGCUGCUUUCAGCAGGGAAGAAGAAAAGUUUAGUUUUUUAGGGUUUUCUCUUUCCUUCCAAAAUUACAAAAUGAACCCCCCCUAAUUUUGAGUUAAAAACUGCUAUUUAUAGGCAAAAUAAUUUUUCGAGCUUCCAAAUUGGUCCCUCAAUUUUUGUGUUCAAUUCAUUUGGUAAAAAUUAAAUUUGGUCUUAAAAUUUCAAUCUUUUCAAUUCAGUCCAAAUUAAGCUCCCAAACUUAAUUUUUCACCAAUUAAGCCCUCAAAUUAAUUUGACCCAUUUAAAGUAUAAUUAAGUCCUUGCACUUAAUUAAAUCCUUCAAUUGGACCCAAAUUAAUUCUUAAACAUAAUUAAAAUUUAAUUUGGCCCAUGAUUAAAUCAAAUUGGCCUAUUAAAAAUUUAAUUAUGUCAUUGGACUUAAUUUUUAUGCAAAUUCAUCCAAUAAUCAUUUUAUUUGACCUUCGAAUUUGCAUUUAAUUUGACCUUCGAUUUUUUGCCUAUUUUUGCAGUGUUUGUUUAUCGGCUUUCUCCACAGUGCCAACCUUUAUUUUAUUUUUUGAUUUUUUUUAUUGUUAUUUUUUAAAGUAAAAUUUGGGGAAUAACCCAAAAUUGGGUUAUGACAGUUGCCCCCCUCUUUACAAUGCUUAUGAUAGAAAGUCUCCUACGAGACUUUAGAUAGUAAGCGUUGUAAAGAAGAAAAAAGGAAGAUUUUUUUUUUGAAAUGGUCGAAUUGUCAUGGGUGACCUACCCGGGUGAAAAACACGAAGAUGUUUUAAAGUGGUGAAAAAUACAGAGAUUUUUCAAAGUGGUGAGAAAUGCGAGGAUUUCUCAAAAUGGUGAAAAAUGCAAAGUUUUUUUCAAAGUGGUCUUGUUGUAAUGGGUGACCUACCCAGGCGAAAGGUGUUGAAAAAUACAAAGAUUUUUCCAAAGAGGUGAAAAAUGCAGAGAUUUUUCAAAGUGGUGAGAAAUGCGAAGACUUCUCAAGGUGGUGAAAGAUGCAAAGAUUUUUCAAAGCGGUGAGAGAUGCAAAGAUUUCUCAAAGUGGUGAGAGAUGCAAAGAUUUCUCAAAGUGGUGACAAAUGCAGAGAUUUUUCAAAGUGGUGAGAAAUGCGAAGAUUUCUCAAAGCGGUCUUAUUGUGAUGGGCGACCUGCCCAGGUGGAAAGUGAUGAAAAAUGCAAAGAUUUUUCAAAGUGGUUGAGAAAUGCGAAGAUUUAUCAAGAUGGUAAAAAUUUUUGGAGGUGGUGAGAAAUGAAAAGAUUUCUCAAAAUGGUUUUAUUGUUAUGGGCAACCGGCCCAAGUGAAAAAGUUUGAAAGUGGGGAGAAAUGCAAGGAUUUCUCAAAAUGGUUUUAUUGUUAUGGGCAACCGGCCCAAAUGAAAGAAUUUUGAAGGUGGGGAGAAAUGCAAGGACUUCUCAAAAUGGUUUCAUUGUUAUGGGCAACCGGCCUAAAUGGAAGAAUUUUGAAGAUGGGGAGAAAUGCAAGGACUUCUCAAAAUGGUUUCAUUGUUAUGGGCAACCGGCCCAAAUGGAAGAUGAAAAGAGUUUUUGAAAAAGGUCUGAUUAUAAUGGGUGACCUGCCUGGGCGAAAAGGCAAAAUGUCUAAAAGGGACGACAUGAUAGGACUCGAUGGGGAACGAGGGCUGAAGAGCACACUCGAAAGGAGGUAGGGUUAGAAAAACAUACUACCUAAGAGGUGAGUGCUCCAAGACGCACUCUAAAGGAGGUAAAUAGGGCUAGAAAGCACACUACAUUAGAGGUGAGGGCUCGAAGGAGCUCUCAAAAGAGGCAAGGUUGGAAAACGCACUACCUUAGGGGGUUGAUGACCCUAAGGCGCACUCUAAGGGAGAUAGGGUUGGAAAACGCACUACCUGAAGGGUUGAUGGCUCUAAGGCGCACUUAAAAGGAGAUAGAGUUGGAAAAUCCACUACCUAAAGUGGUCGAAGGCUCUAAAGCGCACUCAAAAGGAGGUAUGGUUAGAAAACGCACUAUCUAAAGCGGUGAGAGCUCGAAGGAGCACUCAAAAUGGGAGGUAGGGUCAGAAAACACACUACUUAAAAGGGUUGUUAGCUCGAAGGCGCACUAAAAAAAAGAGGCAGGGUUGGAAAACGCACUACCUAAAAGGUUAAUGCUCAAAGGCAUACUAAAAAAGGAGGCAGGGUUGGAAAACACACUACCUAAAGGUGAUCGAGGGCUCAAAGGUGCACUUGAAAAGAGGUAAGGAGGUAAGGUUGGAAAAUGCACUACCUAAAGUGGUUGAAGGCCCUAAGGCGCCCUCAAAAGAGGAGGUAGGGUCAGAAAACUCACUACCUAAGAUGGUUGAUGGCCCUAAGGCGCACUUAAAAGGAGAUAGGGUUGGAAAACGCACUACCUAAGAUGUGAGGGCUCGAAGCGUACUCAAAAGGAGGUAAGGUUGGAAAACGCACUACCUAUAGGUGAUCGAGGGCCAGAAGGUGCACUCGAAAAGAGGUAAGGAGGUAAGGUUGGAAAACGCACUACCUAAGGUGGUUGAUGGCCCUAAGGCGCACUUAAAAAGAGAUAGGGUUGGAAAACGCACACCUAAGGGUUGAGGGCUCUAAAGCGCACUAAAAGGAGAUAGGGUUGAAAAACCACUACUUAUAAGGUGAGGGCUAAAAGCGCCUCAAAAGGAGGUAGGGUUGGAAAACACACUACCUAAAAGGUUAGGGCUCGAAGGCACACUAAAAGAGGUAGGGUUAGAAAACACACUACCUAAGGGGCGAGGGCUAAAAGGCCUCAAAGGAGGUAGGGUUGGAAAACACACUACCUAAAAGGUUAGGGCUCGAAGGCACACUAAAAAGAGGUAUGGUGAGACACCGAUCUAUCAAGGAUGAAAGUAAUGCAUCAUGAACAAUAUGCAUGUAUACUUACCUGAGAAGUAUAGGUCCCCUUUUCUUCAUAAAGUUCUCUUUCUCAAAGUUUGAGUCUCUGAUAGUAAGCUUUGAUGGCUUUUGUCCCCUAGCUUACUCGAGAAAUAUCUUACGAUCUUGGCCUCUAUGAAAGUUGAUGUCAUCACUUCUUUGUUCUCCGGCCCUUUUAUCUCAAGGGUUGCCAAUUUUGCCCAAUAGUUUCUUAGAAAGGGAAUCAUGGAGCAGCUCUACCAGAUGUUUUUGAUUGCCCCUAGCUUGAUCAUGCCCCCAAGUAUUCAAUCGGGUUUGGGGAUGAGGCUAUUGAAGGAAGGUUUGACAAGGAGUUGUUUUCAUGCAGAAUUUUUGGAAUUUCAAAGCUAUUCCAGACACAGAAAUCAUUUUAACAUCGAUUCAAAGCGAACUCAUUCUGAAGAAAUUCAAGUGAUUCCUAUGGAGAGGUUUUCAGAAGUGAUGAAAACUUUUUGUUUUGAUUUUGGUGAAAAAAUAUGAAGUGACAUUUGGUUGGUCACAAAAAGUUGAAAUUUCAAUGAAGUGACAUCUGGUUGGUCACAAAAGGUUUAAAUUUCAAUGAAGUGACAUCUGGUUGGUCACAAAAGGUUUAAAUUUCAAUGAAGUGACAUCUGGUUGGUCACAAAAGGUUUAAAUUUCAAUGAAGUGACAUCUGGUUGGUCACAAAAGGUUUGAAUUUCAAUUUGAGGGUUAUUGAGAACCGUUUUCAAAGCAGUCAUUUUAUUUGCAUGAAUAAUGAUUUUAUUUCGCAUGAGAAAGCACUGCCUACCGAUCCAGAUUGCUUGCCUUUGAUCAGAAAGGGCUUCAUUAGGCACGUAAUGUAGGCUUGGGCUUUUGGCUAUGAAGAAAAUGAUAUAUGUAGGCUCAAAAGGUGUUUAAGGGACUUUAAGACUAAGGAUCACAAGUGCUUAUAUCCCAAACUCUUUUGUUCAUACAUUUCUGGACCUUGGAUUUGAUUUGUAAAAUGGUCCACGGUGCCCCAAGUGUUGGGGUUGGGUUCUUUCUCUUUGUCUUGGUUUUCUUCAUUUGCUUUUGAGCAUUAUUGCAUUGGCCUUGUUUUUUUUUUGCUCAAAUUUUGGAUCCUUUGGAUUUUUUUCAUGCCCCUAGCUUUGUAUGGGCACCUUUGAUGAUUGAGAAUUUUCUUUUAUGCCCCCCAGUAUUGUUUGGGCACUUUCAUUGUUGAAGACUUUUUCAUGCCCCCAAGAGUUAUUUGGGCACUUUCAAUCAUUAUGGAUUUUUUUGCACUUGCCCCCCAGUGUAGGGUGUGAUCCUAGCCAAGGUUAUUUUUCAAGAAAAAUUUAUUAGGCUCAAAAGGGGACUGCAAAUGAUAUAUUUCAGCCUUGUGAAAGGAUUAUCAAAGAUGGCCUUUCUUCAUCUCAAAUGCAUGCAUUUAGGAUCGGUAAGCCUUGCUUUCAUGCGAGUAUGCAGAGUGAUUUCUCAUUAUUCAUGCAAUAAAACUCAGCUUUUGGAGUCACUUCAUGGUGUUUUUUUUUUUUUUGGGUUUUCUAGGUGUAUGGUUACCUCUCUAAGGAAUCACCUGAAUUUCCAAAACUCGUUUGUUUCGACAAACUUCAACAUGAUUUCUGUUUUUGUACUAAACUUUGAAUUCCCAAAAAUCCUUGUGAAAACAUGGGGCCAUGUUUUGUUUUGGGAAGAAAAGGGAAACGCACCACAAGAUUUUGGGCGCGAUGGUUUCAUGCUUAAAGGUUAUGCUCAAUGUGUUAUUUGCAUGAAACAACAAAAAUGAUGGCAUGUGAUGAACACAGCAAAACACAUGAUAAAGGCUCAGUGGACAGGGAAAGUCUUGUGGAAUUUUGAGCCAAAUUACCAAAAAAACUGGAAUAGGUUGAAACAAAAAAUCAAGUUUUUGGAGGCAUGAUCAAACAGAGGUAGUUAUUUUGGCAGAGCAAGAACAGGCUCCAUUCUGCAACGGUGAUGCAAUUCCCCUUCAGAUUGUGUUGAGGCUCUUGAUCAUGUGGCCCCCAAUUUCUUCGGGUUGAGUUGGGGCUGAACAAAAAUGACUGGCCGAUUGGAAGGACCUUCACUAGAGGCAUUUCUAAGUGUUUGCUCGAGUAAGCUAGUGAGGUGAGCCACACUUGCUUUCAGAGACUCUAAUUCUUCUUGGAAAUGGAUGUUGCGGUGAGCACGCUCUUUGUCUCCAAUGUUUUUCUCUCAAAAUCAGGUGUUGUAGACUCGGAGGGGACCUACUUUUUAUUCUGGUGCAUGCAUGACAAAUGUAUGAACAUGAAGUCUAUAUGAUGAACUCGCCCUUCGAGGGGUGACAACAUGGUCGUAACUCUUGUAUGAUGGAACAAGAAUUGUGAAUUUUUUUGCCCAAACUCUACAAUGAAAAUUUUCCGAGUGACGACCCAUGUGUCACCCACAAAUCUUGAGUUCAAGAUGAUUCAAGAAGGGUUCGCCCUGAUGCAAAUAAAUGAUAGCACAUACAACCUAAGGACAUGUUCUAUUGAUUGUGUGAACAUGGGUAGGUUUUCUACCUGGUCUCAAAAAGGGUCUAUGAACUGCCCAGUGACGACCUCACGUGAAGGCAGUAUAGGGGUUUACAAGGAAUGGUUGGGGCACCAUGUGACCGCCAUUACCGAGUAAACACUCAGCUCAUAGUUGGAUGUUUCACAAAUCUGAACCCCGACUGAAAGUCAUGAGGUAGACUGCUACUCCCCACCUAACUUAGAAGCUUGUGUGUGCUUUCAAAAAUAAAUACAAGUGAUGCAUGAAACAAUUCUAAAAAUGCAUGCAUAAAAUAAAGCAAGACAAAAAUGGCAAAAAUUAAACACAUCAAGUACACAAAGCUUAGUCCAAAAUUGUCAGAAACAAUACCUCCCCAGUGGAGUCGCCAUUCUGUCGCACGUCGAAAAAUCCCGCGCGCGGCAUCGGCUGGCGAUUUAUGUCUCGUUGUUGCAUUGCUUGAAUUGGUUCGUUAGGAGUCGCCACCUAGUAUUUAAUUGAGGUUACUAGGAAACCCUGGUGGACUGGUCAUGGUCAAGAUUCGCGGGUAAGGGACUGAUUGUGGUUAGGGAAGGUGUUAGCACCCCUAACGCACCCUACCUGAGGUAAGCUGCUCCGUGGACUUGAUGUGUUAAAGAAGUUUUAAAAAUUUUGUCUUUUCAUCGGAUUUUAAAAAUACAACUUCCGUACAAGUUUGUAUUUCUACACCGUGAUCCAAUCAAAAUAUUAAAUCCUUCUUUAUUCUUUGCUGUCUCAUCAAAAAAACAAUUCAUUAAACAAAUGUAACAUGCAUUUUUAUUAUAUAUUUCUUUCUUUCUUUUUCUUUUCUUUUAAUUCAAUAACAUACAUAAAAAAAAUACAAACACACACACACAUCUCUUUUAUUAUUUUUUUCUCUUUUCUUUUACAUUCACCUUUACACAAAAUAAAUUCAAAACAAAUAAAUACAAAUUACAUUAAUUAAUUUAAAUUUUACAAAACAGUCCCUAAAAGUCCAGAAAUUGCAUUGAAGGACACUGUCGGAACUGCCUGAACUCGUGGCGGCGCGUGAACCCACGCGCCGCCGCAAACAUGCCGGAAACGGGCGGAUCUGCCCUGUUUCCUCC
rnacentral:lncRNA from 1 species